rnacentral:lncRNA from 1 species
GGAGUGUUAACAGACAGUCAGUCCUCACUCUUAUCACCAUGCUCAAGUCUAGAUCAUUGGAGGAGGGUUAACAGACAGUCAGUCCUCUACUCUAUAUUCACCAUGCUCUAGUCUGGACUCCUGGAGGAGUGUUAACAGACAGUCAGUCCUCUCACUCUAUAUUCACCAUGCUCUAGUCUAGACUACUGGGGAGGAGGGUUAACACGACAGUCUCUUACUCUAUAUUCACCAUGCUCUAGUCUAGACUCCUGAGGCGGGUUAACAGACAGUCUCUCUACUUAUAUUCACCAUGCUCUAGUCUAGCACUACUGGAGGAGGCGGUAACAGACAUUCAGUCCUCUAGACUAGGCAUGGUGAAUUAGAGUGAGGACUGAAUGUCUGUUACCCCUCCUCCAGUAGUUAGACUAGGCAUGGUGAAUAUAGAGUAGAGGCUGACUGUCUGUUAUCCCUUCCCAGUAGUCCGACUAGGCAUGGUGAAUAUAGAGUAGAGGACUGUCUGUUAACCUCCUCCAGGAGUCUAGACUAGAGCAGGUGAAUUAAGAGUAGACUACUGGAGGAGGGUUAACAGACAGUCAGUCCUCUAUUCUCUCUUCACUUGCUCUAGUCUAGUCUAGACUCCUGGAGGAGGGUUAAACAGACGACAGUCCUCUACUCUAUAUUCACCAUUCUCUAGUCUAGUCUAGAUCCCUGGAGGAGGGUUACAGACAGUCCUCUACUCAUAUUCACCAUGCUCUAGUCUAGACUACCUGGAGGAGGGUUAACAGACCCGUCCUCUACUCUUAUUCACCUGCUCUUAGUCUAGACUACUGGAGGAGGGUUAACAGACAGUCCCUAUACUCUAUAUUCACCAUGCUCUUAGUCUAGACUACUGAGGAGGGAACAGCAAGUCAGUCCUCUACUCUAUAAUUCAC